rnacentral:lncRNA from 1 species
UUCAACAGAGGACUCCAUAUCCAUUGCACCAAAAACUUUCUUCCUCUUCUUCCAUUCAUAUUAAAUGUCCUUCCUUGUCUAUCUCUCAUCACUUGCCCUAUAUACCCACCGCCCCCACCUGUUCCAUAUAAUCCUUCACACAGAUCCCCAAUUUCAGUUGGUGCUGUUGGGUCUUCUCCUGCAUACCAAGCAUUUACUAAGGGGUUUGAAGAUAGUUCUGCUAGCUCAUGUCCUAUCACACU